CAGGACGAGACAACGUUAUUACAGCAGGAUAAAAUCGUCAGAACUCACAUUAUCAGUCAUGAAGACCAUUCUUGUGUUACUAAUGCCCAUUUUGUUUGGGAACGUUGCAGUGGAGGCACUGCGGUGUUAUGCCUGUGAUGACACACACAGCAAUGCUCAAUGCAACCAGAACAUAGAGAACUGCUAUGUCUCAAAAGACACCUGCAUGACCGCCGUCGGCCAAAUCUUGGGGAUCCAGUACAUUUCUAAGACCUGUACCAACAGCUUGUCAUGUAGAACAGCCGCCUCCAUCAACACCAUUCCAGGAGCCUUAUGGGGGAUCCAGGUCAGCUGCUGUCAGACUGACCUCUGUAACGUCAACGGUUCAUCAGUCUCUGGACUCAACUUCAUGUUGCUCAGCUUGUCUUUUCUCUUAUCUGGCCUGAUUUUGUCUCUGUGAAACUCUGUGAAGUUUUUGAAAUGAAUGAAUGAACAACUGAAAUCCAUAUGUGGGUUCAUAUUUGCUGUUUUUUUUUGUUUGUUCUUGUUGCUCAUCCUCAGGAUCUAUGUUGGAUAGGAAAGAAAUACAACGUUUUCCUAUCUGUGCUGGUUACUGUGUCUCUGAAUCAAGUUUUCGAAAUGAAUGAAUAUGAACAACUGAAAUAAAUAUGUGUUAAUCUCU